rnacentral:rRNA from 1 species
AUUGAACGCUGGCGGCAGGCCUAACACAUGCAAGUCGAACGAGUGGCGGACGGGUGAGUAAUGUCUGGGAAACUGCCCGAUGGAGGGGGAUAACUACUGGAAACGGUAGCUAAUACCGCAUACCAUCGGAUGUGCCCAGAUGGGAUUAGCGUGUGGGUGGGGUAACGGCUAACCUAGGCGACGAUCCCUAGCUGGUCUGAGAGGAUGACCAGCCACACGGGAACGGAGACCCGGUCCAGACGCCUACGGGAGGCAGCAGUGGGGAAUAUUGCACAAUGGGGGAAAUCCUGAUGCAGCCAUGCCGCGGGUAGGAAGAAGGCCUGCGGGUUGUAAAGUACGUUCAGCGAGGAGGCGUUACUCACAGAAGAAGCACCGGCUAACUCCGUGCCAGCAGCCGCGGUAAUUC